rnacentral:rRNA from 1 species
UGGCGGACGGGUGAGUAAUGUCUGGGAAACUGCCUGAUGGAGGGGGAUAACUACUGGAAACGGUAGCUAAUACCGCAUAACGUCGCAAGACCAAAGAGGGGGACCUUCGGGCCUCUUGCCAUCGGAUGUGCCCAGAUGGGAUUAGCUAGUAGGUGGGGUAACGGCUCACCUAGGCGACGAUCCCUAGCUGGUCUGGGAGGAUGACCAGCCACACUGGAACUGAGACACGGUCCAGACUCCUACGGGAGGCAGCAUG